CGCAGGGAACCAGACCAGCGUCUGGUGGUACACGCCGGUCCGCGGGCGAGGAGCCGAGGAACCUAUCGACCAGUUCCCAUCUCCAGCGCAGUCUCCCUCCCCUCCACCGAUUCCAAACCUAGCGCUAGCGGCCGGUGGCGGGCGACGCGUGGGCGGCGGCCGGCGGCGAAUCUAGGCCCGGCCGGCCCUCUCCUUCCCUCCCCUCGGCAGUACGGCCCCUCCGGCCUCGGCCUCCGGGCUCCGGCAACCCGGCUCCGCCCUCCCCGAACAGCACAAGAGUUUCCUCCGCCUCCGAGAUCCGACCGGCCUCCAGUGCUCCCUCGACGGCUCCACGCGGACCACGCCUCCACUGCUGACCGUCCUGCUCCUCCAGCAUAGCUCCAGUGCUCCACCAAGAUGAAGAAGAAAUAUGUUAGCUUGUUUGAAUUGUGCGACAAAUCUUCAAAGGCAAGGAAAAUAAGUUCUACAUCCACACCAACUGCUAUUUCCGUUGAGGUUGAGAGCAACCUACAACUAGCACUAGUGCAUACACAUGACGAAGCUCCGCAACCGGAGAGGGAGAGAGGCUCCCCGUCCCCAAUUGUAGAAGAUGAUGAAGCGGUUGAUGAAGAUGAUGAACCAAGUCCCCAAUUCGAAGCAGAUUUGGCGGCUCUGGAACGUGAUCCUGGCAAGCGACUUCCCAUAUCUUCAUAUCAUGUCAAUGACCAGGAUGUAGUUAGAAGGAGAUACAGUGACUUGGGAGCUUGUGAACCAAAGGGUCACAAAUUUGAGAUCAGAGAUUUUAGUGGACAUCCCUGUCGCUUUUGUCCUUCUUGGUUUAAGGAUCACAAGUGGCUUGAGUAUAGUGUGGAGAAAGAGGUCAUGUUCUGCUUUGUUUGCUAUUUGUUCAAGGAUAAAACAAAAAGCCCUGGUGGAGAUCCAUUUGUUAAGGGUGGGUUUAGAAACUGGAACAUGAAAGCAAGAUUGACAAGGCAUGUUGGUGA